AUACGGAGGGUCCAAGCGUUAUCCGGAUGCAUUGGGUUUAAAGGGUCCGCAGGCGGGAAAAUAAGUCAGUGGUGAAAGCCUACAGCUCAACUGUAGAACUGCCAUUGAUACUGUUUUUCUUGAGUAUAGAUGAAGUGGGCGGAAUAUAUCAUGUAGCGGUGAAAUGCAUAGAUAUGAUAUAGAACACCGAUUGCGAAGGCAGCUCACUAAACUAUUACUGACGCUCAGGGACGAAAGCGUGGGGAGCGAACAGGAUUAGAAACCCUAGUAGUCC
rnacentral:rRNA from 1 species